CUUAUUGAGAAGCUUCCAUGAGCCAGCACCGAGAUGGGGACUAGACUACCCAAAUAACUGCAAACGGGGGACUCGCAGUCAAGUGAGAAGUCCCUUCACAAGGCAUAAUUAUCAGGAAUCCAGAUUCCCUAUGAGCAGGAACCAUGCCAGCACGGUCUUCCCACUGUGGUAAAACAAAAGUGGGUGCCUAUGAAUACCUGUGGAGAAGGGAAAGCCCACUCAAAGAGGAAAGACCUUUUUGGACCCUUUGAAAAGAAAGAAUGAAACAACUUCCCAUUCCAUACUGGCUAUCAUGAAAAGCCGAAUUGGUUGCUGCAUGAUCGGAUAAAAGAGGAGUCUUCUUGGAAUGCAGAGGAUUCACUGGGCAUCUUUUUGUGCUUUCAUGCCCAGCAAAAGCAAUGAAUCAGCAGCUGUAGCAAUCAUAGCUCAAGCAAGGCAAGGCAACUAAGAAUUCAGACCCUUCUGGAAUGGGAAGUAGAAGAGGAAGACAUUGAUUGUCAGUGACCUAGGAAAGAGGUACAACAACAGAUGUGACUGUCACCUGUUUUACCAACCCAGAUGCAUUUGUCUUUGUAGAAGUUGCGGCUAAC